rnacentral:tRNA from 1 species
GGGGAUGUGGCACAGUUGGUAGAGUGUUUGCCUAACAAGCACGAAGCCCUAGAUUCCAUCUCUAGUGUCUUAU